GAGGGGAGCGGGGCCGACACAGGGUUCCUGACCAAGCUGGUGCUUCUGCGUGUGUUCCUGCAUGACUUGGUGUGUCCCCUUCUCUUGGAUCUACUGCAGUUGACAGCAGAUAACUGAAAGCUCGGAAAGCGAAACCGUGGAUAAGCAGGGGAACUGUGGCAUCCCAUUUAAAAUUGCUUCUGAAGAGAAGCAUGAGGUUACAUCUGUAAUCUCCCUGCAGCAGAGUCAACUGCAUAAGAAACCAAAAGACACACCUGCUCCAUGCCAGCUUCGAUAAUUUCUUUGUACCUUCGGCGAAAGAAGCCCAUCUGAAAGGCAGAAAGAAAGAGAAGCUGAGUUAGAAGUGCUGAAGAAUCAGCCAUUGUGACCCCAAGGCAGUCUGUCCCUGGGUAGGUGUGACCUGCACUCACAGGGCUGGGGAGGCUUGGAGGACCCCUCGGAUUAGAGAAAACACUGGCAAGAAAAACAUCCUGUGGAGACAUUUUUCAAAAUGCAUGGACUUCCUGCGGGUGAUAUUACGUAAGCUGUUUGUUCCUUCUAAAAUGCAUCUGGUGUAGUGUUUUCCAGACUGUGUGCUGGGGAAUACCAGUUACUGAGAGCUGUUCAAAGGUGUUUGGGAGUAAAAAAAGGUUUCAUGGCUGGGCGCAGUGGCUCACGCCUGUAAUCCCAGCACUUUGGGAGGCUGAG
rnacentral:lncRNA from 10 species